rnacentral:lncRNA from 1 species
AUGAAGACCAUUUUCAGCAAUCAGACUAUCGACAUUCCAGAAAAUGUCGACAUUACUCUGAAAGGACACACAGUUAUCGUGAAAGGCCCCAGAGGAACCCUGUGGAGGAACUUCAAUCACAUCAAUGUAGAACUCAAUCUUCUUGGAAAGAAAAAAAAAAGAGGCUCCUGGUUGACAAAUGGUGCAGUAACAGAAAGGAACUGGUUACCAUUUGGACUAUUUGUAGUCACGUACAGAACAUGAUCAAGGGUGUGACACUGGGCUUCUGUUACAAGAUGAGGUCUGUGUAUGUUCACUUCCCCAUCAACAUCAUUAUCCAGGAGAAUGGUUCUCUUGUUGAAAUCCGAAAUUUCUUGGGUGAAAAAUACAUCCGCAGGGUUCAGAUGAGACCAGGUGUUGCUUGUUCAGUAUCUCAAGCCCAGAAAGAUGGAUUAAUCCUUGAAGGAAAUGACAUUGAGCUUGUUUCAAAUUCAGCAAGCCACAACAGUUAAAAACAAGGAUAUCAGGAAAUUUUUGGAUGGCAUAUAUGUCUCUGAAAAAUGAACUGUUCAGCAGGCUGAUGAC